UACGUAGGGGGCGAGCGUUGUCCGGAUUUAUUGGGCGUAAAGAGCGUGUAGGCGGCCAGGUAGGUCUGCUGUGAAAACUCGAGGCUCAACCUCGAGACGUCGGCGGAAACCAUCUGGCCAGAGUCCGGGAGAGGUGAGUGGAAUUCCGAGUGUAGAGGUGAAAUUCGUAGAUAUUCGGAAGAACACCAGUGGCGAAGGCGGCUCACUGGACCGGCACUGACGCUGAGGUGCGAAAGCGUGGGGAGCAAACAGG
rnacentral:rRNA from 1 species